UCGAGAAUAAUUCACAAUGGGGGCGACCCUGAUGGUGCAACGCCGCGUGGAGGAUGACGGUCUUCGGAUUGUAAACUCCUGUCAUCUGGGAGUAAGACCUGGCGAUGAAUAGUCGACAGGGUUGAUAGUACCAGAAGAGGAAGGGACGGCUAACUUCGUG
rnacentral:rRNA from 1 species